GGCCUUCCGGAUCUUCUUUGACAGGAUCCCUGUCACUACAGAGUACACAACAUGGGUUCACACAUGUCAACACGAGUCUCUGUGUCUCGCUGACCUGGCCACUAACUUCAGCAACUCAGAGGAGCACAUGAGUAUGGUGUACAGGAGGAUGAAUCUGCGAGACGAGAGGCAGUCGACUGGAGCAGAAGCAGCCGCAACCACAGCAGCACCAGAGGUCACUGAGAUAGCAGGUCCAGAAGAGACCCAGACUGCUGCACCAGAACCACCCACUCCCGUGACCAGUGAUUCCAGUGUCCCUGAUGCUCCUGAUGAUACAGUUGAAGUAGAAGAAGAAACCGCUGCU